rnacentral:snRNA from 1 species
ACACUUACCUGGCAGAGGAGAUACUGUUAGUUUUCCCAGGUGGACACUUUUCCGUUUCACACCAGAUGUGCUGACCCCUGUGAUUUCCUCAGAUGUGGAAAACUCAACUGCAUAAUUUGUGGUAGUGGGAGACUACAUUUGCACUCUCCCC